AUCGCUUCUCGGCCUUUUGGCUAAGAUCAAGUGUAGUAUCUGUUCUUAUCAGUUUAAAAUCCAAACCUUAAUCCAAUUAAGUCCCUAGAUCUAACUUCCAUUUGCAAGAAAUUCGGGGGAAUUUGGAAUAUUUUAAAGGUAGCAGAGAAUGCAGUGAGCCCAUUUCCAAAUUUAGGAAUAUCUAUAGACUAAA